CUUACAGGCAGCCUCUGAGAGUCACUUGAUCAAGCUGCCUGAUUGUGACAGUGAGUUUCCUUCACUAAGUGAAUAGUUCCACCCAGGGCUGGCCACACACUCAUUCCUCUGGGACUCGGCCAGAGAAAGAAACACAAAGCACAUUCUCAGAGAGGAAAUAUUUACAAACCAAAGGGGACGGAAAUCUUCUACACAAACCUCCAGUGGAACUGCAGAGAGAGGGAGAGGAGCCUUCCAGCCCCAAGGACUUGCUAGUCUGUGCUUGUUACUUUCUUCCCUAUCAGCUCUUGCUGGGUUUGCGUGGACUUGAAUUGUGAAAGGAAGCAAAGUUCCCAGUUUGGGAUGGCUGAAUGUCAGUGUGUUCUCUGGUGCAUCUUCUGGGUCUUGGUCCUGAUCUUCAUUGGCUGGCCAGUCAGCAUUUUCCUUGGAGGCCUGUAUGGGUUUCUGUCUCCUCUUACCACCUGCAUAGGAUUGGACAAGUUCACAGACCUUCUGCUCCAAGGAGUCAACAUUGGCAGGACCUGUGCUGAAAAUGCCCGUACCGGCAAAUCAUUGUGCUAGAGGAAGGAGAUGGACUCUCUGCAACUAAAUCAGAAGCUUCAUCUCUAGCCAAAAUCACAUUCCAGCCUCUGCUUGCUUCUGCAGGGCACAGGUCUUCCCAGCUGGAAAGCCACAAGGUUAUUCCCACACAAUGAAGGUGCUGUAUCUCCCAAGCUUCUUGUUUAGAAGGAACAAAGCUCUCACUGGAAGAUUUUUUUCAGACAGUUACUAAUUGGCUUGUUAUAUGUCAUGUGUCAGAUCUGGCACAUUUUAUAUCAUGACACGUAUUAUAACUAGUUUGUACUCAUAUAUGGAAUAAUAAAUCAGAUGUUUCAUUACCA